rnacentral:rRNA from 1 species
GACAGAGGGUGCAAACGUUGUUCGGAAUUACUGGGCGUAAAGCGCGUGUAGGCGGUCUCGCAAGUCGGAUGUGAAAGCCCAGGGCUCAACCCUGGAAGUGCACUCGAUACUGCGAGGCUAGAGUCCCGGAGAGGAUGGUGGAACUCUCGGUGUAGAGGUGAAAUUCGUAGAUAUCGGGAGGAACACCUGUGGCGAAGGCGGCCAUCUGGACAACUACUGACACUGAGACGCGAAAGCGUGGGUAGCAAACAGG